UAGGGUUCGAUCCUGGCUCAGAACGUACGCUGGCGGCACGCCUAACACAUGCAAGUCGAACGAAGUAGCAAUACUUAGUGGCAGACGGGUGAGUAACAUGUGGGUAUCUGCCCUUUGGCCUGGAAUAACACGAGGAAACUUGUGCUAAUACCGGAUAAGUCUUUACAGAGAAAGCUUUAUGCACCAUUGGAUGAGCCCGCACUUGAUUAGUUUGUUGGUGGGGUAAUGGCCUACCAAGACUUUGAUCAAUAGCUGAUUUGAGAGGAUGAUCAGCCACAUUGGGACUGAGACACGGCCCAAACUCCUACGGGAGGCAGCAGUGGGGAAUCUUGCACAAUGGAGGAAACUCUGAUGCAGCGAUGCCGCGUGAGUGAAGAAGGCCUUUGGGUUGUAAAGCUCUUUCGUCGGGGAAGAAAAUGACUGUACCCGAAUAAGAAGGUCCGGCUAACUUCGUGCCAGCCGCCGCGGUAAUUCA
rnacentral:rRNA from 1 species